rnacentral:rRNA from 1 species
UACGUAGGAGGCAAGCGUUGUCCGGAUUUAUUGGGCGUAAAGAGCGUGUAGGCGGCCAGGUAGGUCUGCUGUGAAAACUCGAGGCUUAACCUCGAGCUGUCGGCGGAAACCAUCUGGCUAGAGUCCGGAAGAGGAGAAUGGAAUUCCCGGUGUAGCGGUGAAAUGCGCAGAUAUCGGGGAAGAACACCCGUGGCGAAGGCGGUUCUCUGGGACGGUACUGACGCUGAGACGCGAAAGCGUGGGGAGCGAACAGG